AGCGAACGCUGGCGGCAGGCCUAACACAUGCAAGUCGAACGAACUCUUCGGAGUUAGUGGCGGACGGGUGAGUAACACGUGGGAACGUGCCUUUAGGUUCGGAAUAACUCAGGGAAACUUGAGCUAAUACCGAAUGUGCCCUUCGGGGGAAAGAUUUAUCGCCUCUAGAGCGGCCCGCGUCUGAUUAGCUUGUUGGUGAGGUAAUGGCUCACCAAGGCGACGAUCAGUAGCUGGUCUGAGAGGAUGACCAGCCACAUUGGGACUGAGACACGGCCCAAACUCCUACGGGAGGCAGCAGUGGGGAAUCUUGCGCAAUGGGCGAAAGCCUGACGCAGCCAUGCCGCGUGGAUGAUGAAGGUCUUAGGAUUGUAAAAUCCUUUCACCGGUGAAGAUAAUGACUGUAGCCGGAGAAGAAGCCCCGGCUAACUUCGUGCCAGCCGCCGCUGUAAAAC
rnacentral:rRNA from 1 species